rnacentral:rRNA from 1 species
GCCUAGUCAAGAUGAAGCCAGAGGAAACUCUGGUGGAUGUCUGAAGUUUUUCUGACGUGCAAAUCGAUAAUCUGAUCUGGGUAUAGGGGCGAAAGACUAAUCGAACCAUCUAGUAGCUGGUUCCUUCCGAAGUUUCCCUCAGGAUAGCAAGCGUACAACGGUAGUUUCAUCCAGUAAAGCGAAUGACUAGAGGUAUUGGGGCAUAUGUAGCCUCAACCUAUUCUCAAACUUUUAAUGGGUGUGAGUUCUCUUUCUUAAUUGAAGAGCUGCUGAUAAAUAAGUAUGCUUAGUGGGCCAUUUUUGGUAAGCAGAACUGGCGCUGUGGGUUGAACCAAAUGUUGAGUUAAAGUGCCUAAAGCUAUAAUGCGUAUGAGAUCUAUAAAGGGUGUUAGUUGCUGAAGACAGCAGGACGGAGGCCAUGG